GAGCUUGGGUUGCUCCAUUUGCAUCCAAGGAGUGUUACUUACGGGCUGAAAAUCUCUGUGGAGGAUGAGGAACUCCUUUGGAGAAUCAGAUACUGCUGGGAAAGGGAAAGAGAUGCUCACUUCAAAAAGCACCAGUGUCUUAGUUUUUGCUCCUGACUGUCUGCUCUGGCACGUGACCAACCUGGGAGCUGGUGAGCACUGCCUCUCAGAUCCCCAGCCAAAGGUCAGUAGCUGCAUGGUGGCCUCUGGAUUCCUUGGAUACCGACCCUUGUCAUGUGGGGAGGCAUUAACCUUUGGCCCUGACAACAAGCAGACACAAGUGACUAAUUGGAGCAGGGCUGCACCAGCAGCUUCUUGCAGUCAGGACAACAUGAAAAACACACAUCAUUUUUAUACAGCACACCACGUGUCAAUUGACUGCAAGAUGAAAUAACAGGACACAGGCACUUGCAAUCUCUUUUCUGCAUCUCUUACUAUUCAAAAGAACAAAAGCAAUACAGGCUUGGAGUUGAGGGUCCCAAAGUGGCCAGUCCCCUUUGGUCAGAGCACUUCCAGCUUCAAGUCCCUACUGGGAAAUCUCUCCCUUUGAAGUACAUCUCACUUGGGCAGGAGCCAAUGUCAGGAGGAGGAAGCUAUUAGCUUGUAAAGAGAACCCCACAGGUGAAGUUUGACCUCCUGCUGGUUUCUUUGCUUGCAGGUAUUUCCUGUGGGUGCUUUAAAAACAGAUGGUAUUGUGGGUUUUGCUGGUGCCACCUGCUAGUGGACAAUGCUCUGUGUCAAAAGGAACAGGGAAUUUAGAAGAGUAGGCUUUAAAACAUUACAUUGGUGUGUUUUAGCCUGCCUGCAUGCUUUUAAAAUUGUGCCAAAGUGUUUUAAAAGGACAGAUAAGCUCAUCUUUGUGUGGGUUAGUCUUUGUCCUGGAGCUAGCAGCCCAGGAGGAGGGCAGUGAUGGUGGGAGCAGAGUGAUGCUGCCAAAGGAUGUGAAGCCCCACUUGAGCACCUGUGCUUUAUGAGCAGAGGUUAUAUCAGGGCUGGUAGGAUUUACAGCUGUC
rnacentral:lncRNA from 1 species